GAUGAACGCUAGCUACAGGCUUAACACAUGCAAGUCGAGGGGUAACGAGAGGAAAGCUUGCUUUCCUUGUCGACGACCGGCGCACGGGUGAGUAACGCGUAUCCAACCUGCCCCCAACUAGGGAAUAACCUUGCGAAAGUAAGACUAAUACCCUAUAAUUUCCUCAGAUGACAUCUGACGAGGAAUAAAGAUUUAUCGGUUGUGGAUGGGGAUGCGUCUGAUUAGCUUGUUGGCGGGGUAACGGCCCACAAAGGCAACGAUCAGUAGGGGUUCUGAGAAGAAGGUCCCCAACAUUGGAACUGAGACACGGUCCAAACUCCUACGGGAGGCAGCAGUGAGGAAUAUUGGUCAAUGGGCGGAAGCCUGAACCAGCCAAGUAGCGUGCAGGAUGACGGCCCUAUGGGUUGUAAACUGCUUUUAUACAGGAAUAAAGUUAGCCACGUGUGGUUAUUUGUAGGUACUGUAUGAAUAAGGACCGGCUAAUUCCGUGCCAGCAGCCGCGGUAA
rnacentral:rRNA from 1 species